rnacentral:rRNA from 1 species
AGAUUUUAGAGUUUUGAUCUGGCUCAGGAUGAACGCUGGCGGCGUGCCUAAUACAUGCAAGUCGAGCGAACAGAUAAGGAGCUUGCUCCUUUGACGUUAGCGGCGGACGGGUGAGUAACACGUGGAUAACCUACCUAUAAGACUGGGAUAACUUCGGGAAACCGGAGCUAAUACCGGAUAACAUAUUGAACCGCAUGGUUCAAUAGUGAAAGGCGGCUUUGCUGUCACUUAUAGAUGGAUCCGCGCCGUAUUAGCUAGUUGGUAAGGUAACGGCUUACCAAGGCAACGAUACGUAGCCGACCUGAGAGGGUGAUCGGCCACACUGGAACUGAGACACGGUCCAGACUCCUACGGGAGGCAGCAGUAGGGAAUCUUCCGCAAUGGGCGAAAGCCUGACGGAGCAACGCCGCGUGAGUGAUGAAGGUCUUCGGAUCGUAAAACUCUGUUAUCAGGGAAGAACAAAUGUGUAAGUAACUGUGCACAUCUUGACGGUACCUGAUCAGAAAGCCACGGCUAACUACGUGCCAGCAGCCGCGGUAAUACGUAGGUGGCAAGCGUUAUCCGGAAUUAUUGGGCGUAAAGCGCGCGUAGGCGGUUUUUUAAGUUCUGAUGUGAAAGCCCACGGCUCAACCGUGGAGGGUCAUUGGAAACUGGAAAACUUGAGUGCAGAAGAGGAAAGUGGAAUUCCAUGUGUAGCGGUGAAAUGCGCAGAGAUAUGGAGGAACACCAGUGGCGAAGGCGACUUUCUGGUCUGUAACUGACGCUGAUGUGCGAAAGCGUGGGGAUCAAACAGGAUUAGAUACCCUGGUAGUCCACGCCGUAAACGAUGAGUGCUAAGUGUUAGGGGGUUUCCGCCCCUUAGUGCUGCAGCUAACGCAUUAAGCACUCCGCCUGGGGAGUACGACCGCAAGGUUGAAACUCAAAGGAAUUGACGGGGACCCGCACAAGCGGUGGAGCAUGUGGUUUAAUUCGAAGCAACGCGAAGAACCUUACCAAAUCUUGACAUCCUUUGACCGCUCUAGAGAUAGAGUUUUCCCCUUCGGGGGACAAAGUGACAGGUGGUGCAUGGUUGUCGUCAGCUCGUGUCGUGAGAUGUUGGGUUAAGUCCCGCAACGAGCGCAACCCUUAAGCUUAGUUGCCAUCAUUAAGUUGGGCACUCUAAGUUGACUGCCGGUGACAAACCGGAGGAAGGUGGGGAUGACGUCAAAUCAUCAUGCCCCUUAUGAUUUGGGCUACACACGUGCUACAAUGGACAAUACAAAGGGCAGCUAAACCGCGAGGUCAAGCAAAUCCCAUAAAGUUGUUCUCAGUUCGGAUUGUAGUCUGCAACUCGACUACAUGAAGCUGGAAUCGCUAGUAAUCGUAGAUCAGCAUGCUACGGUGAAUACGUUCCCGGGUCUUGUACACACCGCCCGUCACACCACGAGAGUUUGUAACACCCGAAGCCGGUGGAGUAACCAUUUAUGGAGCUAGCCGUCGAAGUGACA